CACCGCGGUUAUACGAGAGACCCAAAUUGAUUAGUAACGGCGUAAAGGGUGGUUAAACUAAUUAUUAUUAAAGCCAAAUUCGCCCCUGACUGUUAUACGUUACGGAAUGAAGAAGAGCUAAUACGAAAGUAGCUUUAAAAUUUUGAAUCCACGAAAGCUAGGGAA
rnacentral:rRNA from 1 species